rnacentral:misc_RNA from 1 species
GAUGAAGAACGUAGCGAAAUGCGAUAACUAAUGUGAAUUGCAGAAUUCAGUGAAUCAUCGGGUCUUUGAACGCACAUUGCGCCCCCUGGUAUUCCGGGGGGCAUGCCUGUCCGAGCGUCAUUGCUGCCCUCAAGCACGGCUUGUGUGUUGGGCUCCGUCCCCCCGGGGACGGGCCCGAAAGGCAGCGGCGGCACCGAGUCCGGUCCUCGAGCGUAUGGGGCUUUGUCACCCGCUCUGUAGGCCCGGCCGGCGCCAGCCGACAACCCAUCAUCCUUUUCAGGUUGACCUCGGAUCAGGUAGGGAUACCCGCUGAACUUAAGCAUAUCAAUAAGCGGAGGA